rnacentral:rRNA from 1 species
GACGAACCGUGCGAACGUUAUUCGGAAUCACUGGGCUUAAAGGGCGCGUAGGCGGGCUCGUUAGUCAGGGGUGAAAUCCCACGGCCCAACCGUGGAAGUGCCUUUGAUACUGCGAGCCUCGAGGGGGGUAGGGGCGUGCGGAACUCAGGGUGGAGCGGUGAAAUGCGUUGAUAUCCUAAGGAACACCGGUGGCGAAAGCGGCUCACUGGACCUCUUCUGACGCUGAGGCACGAAAGCUAGGGUAGCAAACGGG